rnacentral:rRNA from 1 species
UGGGGAAUAUUGCGCAAUGGGCGAAAGCCUGACGCAGCGACGCCGCGUGAGGGAUGAAGGUUUUCGGAUCGUAAACCUCUGUCAGAAGGGAAGAAACCGCACUGUGCUAAUCAGCAGUGCCUUGACGGUACCUUCCAAGGAAGCACCGGCUAACUCCGUGCCAGCAGCCGCGGUAAUACGGAGGGUGCAAGCGUUAAUCGGAAUUACUGGGCGUAAAGCGCACGUAGGCUGCUUUGUAAGUCAGGGGUGAAAUCCCACGGCUCAACCGUGGAACUGCCUUUGAUACUGCUUAGCUUGAAUCCGGGAGAGGAUGGCGGAAUACCAGGUGUAGGAGUGAAAUCCGUAGAUAGCUGGAGGAACAUCAGUAGCGAAGGCGGCCACCUGGACCGGUAUUGACGCUGAGGUGCGAAAGCGUGUGGAGCAAACAGG